AGUGAUUCUCCCACCUCAUCCUCCUGAGUAGCUGGGACUACAGUAACUUCACGAGCCCGGCUUUUGGACUUCGGUUUCCAAUACUUGAACACUGAACAACCCACCUGAUGACUCAAGCUGUUGGAUAAAACUUAUUUUUAAAUUUUA